rnacentral:rRNA from 1 species
GACGAACGCUGGCGGCGUGCCUAAUACAUGCAAGUAGAACGCACAGUUUAUACCGUAGCUUGCUACACCAUAGACUGUGAGUUGCGAACGGGUGAGUAACGCGUAGGUAACCUGCCUGGUAGCGGGGGAUAACUAUUGGAAACGAUAGCUAAUACCGCAUAAUAUUAAUUAUUGCAUGAUAAUUAAUUGAAAGGUGCAAUUGCACCACUACCAGAUGGACCUGCGUUGUAUUAGCUAGUAGGUGAGGUAACGGCUCACCUAGGCGACGAUACAUAGCCGACCUGAGAGGGUGAUCGGCCACACUGGGACUGAGACACGGCCCAGACUACUGCAGGAGGCAGCAGUAGGGAAUCUUCGGCAAUGGACGAAAGUCUGACCGAGCAACGCCGCGUGAGUGAAGAAGGUUUUCGGAUCGUAAAGCUCUGUUGUAAGAGAAGAACGGGUGUGAGAGUGGAAAGUUCACACUGUGACGUUAUCUUACCAGAAAGGGACGGCUAACUACGUG